rnacentral:tRNA from 2 species
GCGGGUGUAGUUCAGUGGCUAGAAUGCUUCCUUGCCAAGGAAGAGGUCGGCGGUUCGAAUCCGCUCACCCGCUCCA